rnacentral:rRNA from 1 species
GAUGAACGCUGGCGGCGUGCCUAAUACAUGCAAGUCGAGCGAACAGACGAGGAGCUUGCUCCUCGGACGUUAGCGGCGGACGGGUGAGUAACACGUGGAUAACCUACCUAUAAGACUGGGAUAACUUCGGGAAACCGGAGCUAAUACCGGAUAAUAUAUUGAACCGCAUGGUUGAAUAGUGAAAGACGGUGUUGCUGGCACUUAUAGAGGGAUCCGCGCCUCAUUAGCUAGUUGGUAAGGUAACGGCUUACCAAGGGAACGAUGCGUAGCCGACCUGAGAGGGUGAUCCGCGACACUGGAACUGAGACACGGUCCAGACACCUACGGGCGGCAGCAGUAGGGACUCUUCCGAAAUGGGCGAAAGCUUGACGGAGCAACGGAGCGUGAGUGAUGCAGGUCCUCGGAUCGUAAAACUCUGUUAUUAGGGAAGAACAAAUGUGUCAGUAACUAUGCACGUCUUGACGGUACCUAAUCAGAAAGCCACGGCUAACUACGU